AGGUGAGCAACCUGUUUUUCUGUUGGCUUCUUAUUCUUUUUCUUUUUCAAAAAGAAAAUCAAUUAAAUCACUAUUCCUAUGUCCAACAACAGGGAGAUGAGUUUAAUGACUGUUCAUCACUACUUCGAAAACCGGCAGAGGAAGGGGCAGAGGAGGGAGAGGGACGAGAGGCUUCUCAGCAUUUCUUCCACUUGUUAACUCUUUGCUGGGUCCAUCCUUGGAUUCCGUGGCAUUGGCCGCAGAAUCAUGUUUUAAAAGUGAAACAUUUCCUGGGGUUCUUUCAUCUCAUCCAUACAGACUGGAGCUCAUUUGCGGGUCAGUUCCAUUGUAGAACAGCGGUUUCCACCAUUUCCCUCAGCACGAUUCUCAAUAAGCAUAAUAAGGAUGUGUAGUACAUUGCCAUUUAGAGCAAAUAUUUGAAGCAAACUCUCAUACCUUGACUUGUCAGCCAAGCCAUUACGUCUGCUGUGAACUCUCCAAGAGCAAACGUACGCUCUUAAUGUUACCAAACAGGUCCUAGAUAUCCCCGUCUGGCAAAAAUGUCAACAAGAGUGAAAAGGGUUCUUUUAUUAGUUACAUUAUUAUCUUGUACAAGGCUUAUGGUAUAAUAAAAAUGUCGACCUUUAUUUGUCUAAACAUGCGCACACAGACACACGCACACCCACACACUGCCAUAUUGAAAAGAUACCCAUCUGCUUCUGAGAGAAGAUGAGACUCAUUAGGGAAAAGGGGAUUCUGGGAUGUUUUCUGCUGUGAAUAGGUACCCUACUGCCACUAAAGAAGGGUACAGUUUUGCUCCAUUUCUGUCCUUCAGAGCUUGACAAAUUCUGCUUUCAGCUAAUAUUUCUUUCAGGAGAAAUAGAUUGCUACUCUUUGAAUUAAGUGACAUGACUGGAUUCUAGUUCUGAUUAUUAGUACUAGGAAACGCUCACCAAUAAUAUCUGCUGUAAACAGGUUGCAUGGCAAAGGUCCUCUGGUAUUUCCUCUAGCAUUAGCAUAAAAAGAAUAUUUGCUUCAACUGAUGUGAGGUCCACGUAUUCAUGCCAAAUAAAGACAUGUUAUUAACCCUCCUUUCUGACUUGCUUUUCAUUGGUUUCUUUUGUCUAUUGUAUAAUAAAUAUGACGACUGUGCUUGUAUUACAGUAUAUUGGUGGCAAAGGAAUGCUGAUUUUGUCACAGACAAUUAAUUGAUGACAUUGACCCCCUUCAUUAAAAAGAGAGAGAGAGAGCGCAAACUGACAAUCUCAGACUAAACACCCCAUUUGCCCUAUUACUAUAUACAAAUUGAUGAUUUUUAUGUAAAAAUGUCUGCAUAUGAAAUGCCUGUUUGGAAAAUUUGGAUCAAUUCAGCUCUAAGCUGCACUGUCUGUGCUGAUGGGGUAUUGGUGUGGAGAAAAAAAGUGGAUUUUUAAAUUUAUAAAAGUGUCUUUAUUUA